rnacentral:tRNA from 1 species
GGGCAUAUGGUGUAGUGGUAUCACGCCUCAUUUGCAGUCACAUCAGUAAUGGUGUCACGCGGCUUGAGGCGGCCCAGGGUUCGAUCCCCUGUGUGUCCA